UUGGUGAGCCCGGCACCCAGAUGA
rnacentral:misc_RNA from 1 species